ACGCUAGCUACAGGCUUAACACAUGCAAGUCGAGGGGCAUCAGGAAGAAAGCUUGCUUUCUUUGCUGGCGACCGGCGCACGGGUGAGUAACACGUAUCCAACCUGCCCUUUACUCGGGGAUAGCCUUUCGAAAGAAAGAUUAAUACCCGAUGGCAUAAUGAUUCCGCAUGGUUUCAUUAUUAAAGGAUUCCGGUAAAGGAUGGGGAUGCGUUCCAUUAGGUUGUUGGUGAGGUAACGGCUCACCAAGCCUUCGAUGGAUAGGGGUUCUGAGAGGAAGGUCCCCCACAUUGGAACUGAGACACGGUCCAAACUCCUACGGGAGGCAGCAGUGAGGAAUAUUGGUCAAUGGGCGCUAGCCUGAACCAGCCAAGUAGCGUGAAGGAUGAAGGCUCUAUGGGUCGUAAACUUCUUUUAUAUAAGAAUAAAGUGCAGUAUGUAUACUGUUUUGUAUGUAUUAUAUGAAUAAGGAUCGGCUAACUCCGUGCCAGCAGCCGCGGUAAUACGGAGGAUCCGAGCGUUAUCCGGAUUUAUUGGGUUUAAAGGGAGCGUAGGUGGACUGGUAAGUCAGUUGUGAAAGUUUGCGGCUCAACCGUAAAAUUGCAGUUGAUACUGUCAGUCUUGAGUACAGUAGAGGUGGGCGGAAUUCGUGGUGUAGCGGUGAAAUGCUUAGAUAUCACGAAGAACUCCGAUUGCGAAGGCAGCUCACUGGACUGCAACUGACACUGAUGCUCGAAAGUGUGGGUAUCAAACAGGAUUAGAUACCCUGGUAGUCCACACAGUAAACGAUGAAUACUCGCUGUUUGCGAUAUACAGUAAGCGGCCAAGCGAAAGCAUUAAGUAUUCCACCUGGGGAGUACGCCGGCAACGGUGAAACUCAAAGGAAUUGACGGGGGCCCGCACAAGCGGAGGAACAUGUGGUUUAAUUCGAUGAUACGCGAGGAACCUUACCCGGGCUUAAAUUGCAGUGGAAUGAUGUGGAAACAUGUCAGUGAGCAAUCACCGCUGUGAAGGUGCUGCAUGGUUGUCGUCAGCUCGUGCCGUGAGGUGUCGGCUUAAGUGCCAUAACGAGCGCAACCCUUAUCUUUAGUUACUAACAGGUCAUGCUGAGGACUCUAGAGAGACUGCCGUCGUAAGAUGUGAGGAAGGUGGGGAUGACGUCAAAUCAGCACGGCCCUUACGUCCGGGGCUACACACGUGUUACAAUGGGGGGUACAGAAGGCAGCUAGCGGGUGACCGUAUGCUAAUCCCAAAAUCCUCUCUCAGUUCGGAUCGAAGUCUGCAACCCGACUUCGUGAAGCUGGAUUCGCUAGUAAUCGCGCAUCAGCCACGGCGCGGUGAAUACGUUCCCGGGCCUUGUACACACCGCCCGUCAAGCCAUGGGAGCCGGGGGUACCUGAAGUACGUAACCGCAAGGAUCGUCCUAGGGUAAAACUGGUGACUGGGGCUAA
rnacentral:rRNA from 1 species